AUAUCAGUCAUGCAUAGCAUAUCAAUAAGCGGAGGAAAAGAGGGCUAUUACCUACGCUUAGGAUGUUGAAGAUGUAGCACAUCAUACACGCAUGACACACUGCAUAUCAAUAAGCGGAGGAAAAGAAACUAACAAGGAUUCCCUUAGUAACGGCGAGUGAAGCGGGAAGAGCUCAAAUUUGAAAUCUUCAAGGUUUUACCUUGACGAAUUGUAGUUUAAAGAAGUGUUUUCUGUUGAAGUUUUGGUAAAAGUUCUUUGGAAUAGGACAUCAUAGAGGGUGAGAAUCCCGUAUUUGACCAUUAUUUUCAGCUGUGUGAUACACUUUCAAAGAGUCGGAUUGUUUGGGAAUGCAGUCCAAAAUGGGUGGUAAAUUUCAUCUAAAGCUAAAUAUUGGCGAGAGACCGAUAGCGAACAAGUACCGUGAGGGAAAGAUGAAAAGAACUUUGAAAAGAGAGUUAAACAGUACGUGAAAUUGUCAAAAGGGAAGCGUUUGACACCAGUGUUGUUUUCUCGAAAAUCAAUUAAAAAAAGUUGGAUUUUGUGUUGUAUUGACCUUAACAGCUUUCUGCACUCUUUUCCUGCUUUUUUUAAUGCACUUUUCGUUUAACAAGUCAACAUCAGUUUCUUUUGUUGUAAAAGGGUCAUUGGAAGGUGGCUUUCUUUUCGGAGAAAGUGUUUAUAGCCUUUGAUCUCUGCAAUCGGAGAGACUGAGGUCUGCAGCGUAGAUCCUUCGGGGUUAGAUACAUUUGUGCUAAGUUAUAACUUUUCAUAGACAACUUGUUGACUAUGUUUUAGUCAUGUAGCUUACUCGCUUAUGCUAUUUUACCUACGCUUAGGAUGUUGAAGAUGUAGCACAUCAU
rnacentral:rRNA from 1 species